rnacentral:rRNA from 1 species
UACGUAGGGUGCAAGCGUUAAUCGGAAUUACUGGGCGUAAAGCGUGCGCAGGCGGUUAUGUAAGACAGGUGUGAAAUCCCCGGGCUUAACCUGGGAACUGCAUUUGAAACUGGCGGGCUUGAGUGCGGCAGAGGGGGGUGGAAUUCCGCGUGUAGCAGUGAAAUGCGUAGAUAUCAGGAGGAACACCGAUGGCGAAGGCAGGUCUCUGGGCUGACACUGACGCUCAUGCACGAAAGCGUGGGGAGCAAACAGG